rnacentral:rRNA from 1 species
UGGCGGACGGGUGAGUAACGCGUGGGUAACCUGCCUCACACUGGGGGACAACAGUUAGAAAUGACUGCUAAUACCGCAUAAGCGCACAGGACCGCAUGGUCUGGUGUGAAAAACUCCGGUGGUGUGAGAUGGACCCGCGUUUGAUUAGCUAGUUGGUGGGGUAACGGCCUACCAAGGCGACGAUCGAUAGCCGACCUGAGAGGGUGACCGGCCACAUUGGGACUGAGACACGGCCCAA